AAAGAGAGUGCGAUCACAUCUUACAUGAAGGAUUAUGGCUCUAAACGGGCCAGGAUGUUUGGAUGGCCAAACACUUACGUAUUUACCAAGGCAAUGGGAGAGAUGCUCCUAGUCCAUUAUAGUAGAGAUACAGUACCUCUAGUCAUUAUCCGCCCUACUAUGGUAACAAGUACUUACCAGGAGCCGUUUCCCGGUUGGAUUGAAGGCGUAAGGACCAUUGAUGGUGUCGCUGUUGGCUAUGCUAAAGGGAA